ACGAACGCUGGCGGCGUGCUUAACACAUGCAAGUCGAACGGAAAGGCCCUGCUUUUGUGGGGUGCUCGAGUGGCGAACGGGUGAGUAACACGUGAGUAACCUGCCCUUGACUUUGGGAUAACUUCAGGAAACUGGGGCUAAUACCGGAUAGGAGCUCCUGCUGCAUGGUGGGGGUUGGAAAGUUUCGGCGGUUGGGGAUGGACUCGCGGCUUAUCAGCUUGUUGGUGGGGUAGUGGCUUACCAAGGCUUUGACGGGUAGCCGGCCUGAGAGGGUGACCGGCCACAUUGGGACUGAGAUACGGCCCAGACUCCUACGGGAGGCAGCAGUGGGGAAUAUUGCACAAUGGGCGGAAGCCUGAUGCAGCAACGCCGCGUGCGGGAUGACGGCCUUCGGGUUGUAAACCGCUUUCGCCUGUGACGAAGCGUGAGUGAAGGUAAUGGGUAAAGAAGCACCGGCUAACUACGUG
rnacentral:rRNA from 1 species